rnacentral:rRNA from 1 species
ACUUAAAAAGCUCGCUAGUUGGAUUUACUGGGAGGGUGCCAAUGUACCGCCGACGUGCGUGUGCAGCAGCGCCCUCUCAUCCUUCUGUUAACGCCUCUUGGCAUUCAUUUGCUGGUGGCGGGCUCAGAUAUUUUACCUUGAGAAAAUUAGAGUGUUCAAAGCAGGCAUUGUGCUUGAAUAUGUUAGCAUGGAAUAAUAGCAUAGGACUCCAUGUUCUACUUGUUGGUUGUCCGAGAACUAAGUAAUGAUUGAUAGGGACGGU